GGGCGUUCCGGGGGGCCUCGUUGGAAGCCGGGAAACGGAAAUGGCCCGACACUCAGCGCAUCUGUGGAGAAAGGUGCGAGAGAGAUGAUGUUCCAGAAGAUUCUUGAAACCCUCUUUCCCUGGACCUCCUUCUCUGUCUGACACAUUGGGAAGCUGUUUCUGUUAAGUCACCCAGAUGUGAACGCAGGAGAAAAGAAUUCCCAAUGGCAAUAGAGAGAGAAAACCAUGCAUUUCUGUUCUUUUGGAGGAGACGGACGUGCAAAACUCUGGUGGCCCUGAAGCCGCGAAAUAGCCGGACGAUGUGGAGGUCUGGAGCAAGGGGGGAAACCCUAGAAGGAACAGACCAAACUGAACACCGUGAGAGGCACUCUCAGUUCAGACAUCCAGUACCAGCAUUUCUGGGAGUUUUUCUACCUGAAGAACGAGUCCCACCCCCCAAGCAGGCCCAUUGAGAGAUGUGGUGAAUCCUGGGACAUUUCACAUUUUAAGACCCCCCCUCAUGAUAUAUAA